AAUCAACGCUGGCGGCGUGCCUCAGACAUGCAAGUCGAACGAUUAAGACUUCCUUCGGGAAGUGUAUAAAGUGGCGCACGGGUGAGUAACACGUAAGUAAUCUACCUUCGAGUGGGGAAUAACAUCGGGAAACCGAUGCUAAUACCGCAUAAUGCAGCGGCAUCGCAAGAUGACAGUUGUUAAAGGAGCAAUUCGCUUGAAGAGGAGCUUGCGGCAGAUUAGCUAGUUGGUAAGGUAAUGGCUUACCAAGGCUACGAUCUGUAUCCGGUCUAAGAGGACGGUCGGACACACUGACACUGAAGAACGGGUCAGACUCCUACGGGGGGCAGCAGUCGGGAAUUUUGGGCAAUGGGCGAAAGCCUGACCCAGCAACGUCGCGUGAGGGAUGAAGUAUUUCGGUAUGUAAACCUCGAAAGAAUGGGAAGAAUAAAUGACGGUACCAUUUAUAAGCUCCGGCUAACUACGUGCCAGCCGCCGCGGUAAAAC
rnacentral:rRNA from 1 species